GACCAAGGAGUCCAACAUGUGCGCGAGUCUAAGGGUUGUCUAAACCCGGAGGCGAAAUGAAAGUGAGCUCUGUUUGGGCAGGCCGAUCCCCUGCUGGUCGGGGCCUGCUGGGCCAGCUAGGUUGAGAGAAUAUCCUGGGCUGGUGCCGGCGGUGCCUGGGCUGGCGGCCCUGAGGUCUGGCGACAGGCCUUUGGGAGUUGGGGCGCAGGCCGAGGACUUGGCUUUGUGCGGCCCGGGAAACGGGUGGCUGCUCCCUCGGGGGUGGUUGCCUGGACCCGUGGUCCGCGGCCAAGUACCUGAGAGCGCAGCCGUUGGGACCCGAAAGAUGGUGAACUAUGCCUGGCGAGGACGAAGCCAGAGGAAACUCUGGUGGAGGUCCGAAGCAGUUCUGACGUGCAAAUCGAUUGUCAGAGCUGGGUAUAGGGGCGAAAGACUAAUCGAACCAUCUAGUAGCUGGUUCCCUCCGAAGUUUCCCUCAGGAUAGCUGGCAUUCGGAGUUGUGAGUUUCAUCCGGUAAAGCGAAUGAUUAGAGGCCUUGGUGGUGCAAUGCCGUCAACCUAUUCUCAAACUUUAAAUGGGUGAGACGUGGAGCUUGCUUGAGACGUGAAGCUCUAUGAUGCAAAGAAUCAGAGUGCCUAGUGGGCCACU
rnacentral:rRNA from 1 species